rnacentral:rRNA from 1 species
CCCUUAGAUGUUCUGGGCCGCACGCGCGCUACACUGAUGCAUUCAACGAGUUUUACCUUGGCCGAGAGGCCUGGGCAAUCUUUUAAACCUGCAUCGUGAUAGGGAUAGAUUAUUGCAAUUAUUAAUCUUGAACGAGGAAUUCCUAGUAAACGCAAAUCAUCAAUUUGCAUUGAUUACGUCCCUGCCCUUUGUACACACCGCCCGUCGCACCUACCGAUUGAAUGGUCCGGUGAGGCCUCGGGAUUGCGGCCAGUUUCCUUCAUUGGGAGUUGGCUGCGAGAACUUGUCCAAACCUUAUCAUUUAGAGGAAGGUGAAGUCGUAACA